ACAGCCCGGCCUAAGCUAGUGUAGAAUUAAGCCGGGGAAAGGUGUGACUGGGAAAAGGAGUAAGAAAAUGAAAAAUAAAAAGGUUUCAAUAAAAAUAAUUAUUUUACUUGAGCAAUACUUUACCAUAAUGUCUGGUAAUCAUAUACAAUCACUUUUAAAACUCACGAGUAGACAACUUACAAUAACACAACGACAAGUUGUCUAAAUGAUAUAAUUCUCGAAGCUAUUGGUUUAAAAUCUCUACAACACAUCAAUAGAGUAAGGUACAUUAAGUGUUGCAGCGGAAAUAACUCAACUCAAGUGGAUUACAUGUGUGAGGACAUGAAAUCCCGAGCCUAAAUUAUACAUAUAUACACCGAAGGCUUUGCUCUGCUUGCUACCAUCUGCAUCACAGCUUAACCUGCAUAUUUAGAAACAUACGCAGGGCUGAGUACCAAAAAGCACUCAGUGGUCAUGCCGAAAUAACUUUAAAGCUUGCUCUUAGAGCUAUAUAUUGAACUUGCCAUCUCAAACAUCACACAGGAGUUUUAUUUAAAUAACCUGUGCAUGCAAAACUGUAAAACUUCUCUAUAUAUAUCAUCAUAACAUCAUAUACGUCUGCAGACAAUUAACAUGUAUGUACCAUAUCUACGCAUCAUAUAACUCUGAGUGUUGAGAAGUAGGCCUCCUUCUCAAACACGAUGACAAGCUAACACAAAGGUUAACUGUCAACUUUGUGUACACAAAUCCUGACUCGCUCAGGACCCGAAUUCGUUCUUCUAUGUAGAUGGUAUCAUACAAAUCUCAAACAUUGGCAAGUCAAUAAUUGGAAAAUAAAUGCAUACACUCAAUCUUUAUAUAAUAAAGUAUGCAUCUUUACUUCUUGAGUUAGUAAGCCCACCUGAUACGCUUAAUGAAAUAGAAGUCUUUGCUUGUUCAUUCUACACUGCCACUCGAACCUUCAUUAUAAUGAGGUCCAGGUAAGAUUGGAUAAUAAGUAAGUACAUAGAAAGUAAAUCUUGAAUGAAACUUCUAUCACUUCAAAGUUGCAUCUUCUAAUCUGAGUAUUCUACUUAUAUGGACUUAACUAACUAAAAGCAAUCAAUAACAUCAUAUCUCUUGGGAUACCUCAAGUUGAAAAGUAUAAGAGUAAACUAAUCCAUCCUAUAUAGAUUAGCUUACAAUUAAUAACUAAAACAUCAAUCAAGUACCAUAAUUCUAUUCAUAACUAUCCCAAGUAAGAAACCUCAAACAUGUAAUCAUAUUUGAAUCCUAACUUUGGAAAAUCAUAUAAAAUCAAUCACUUCAAGGAAAAAAUAUAAACCUCACUUCUUUAGAAAGCUAUUAACGUCUAUAUUUCUCAGAAAUUUACAAAAACACAAUAUCUCAAGUGGAUAAGAAGUUAUAUGACCAAAGACAGAAUCUGCCACUGAACUCUGCUGCUCCGUGCAGUACAUUUCAGAAAAUAGUUUGACAUGUCUAUUGGUCUCGGAUUUAGCUGAAAUUUUGCAGAGACCGACUACACAUGAUGAAGUUAUUACAGUAAAAAUUUCAAGUUAUUUGGAUUACGAAAACAUCAUCAAAAGUACCCCGAAACAU
rnacentral:lncRNA from 1 species